rnacentral:rRNA from 1 species
UUGACCUCAAAUCGGGUGAGACUACCCGCUGAACUUAAGCAUAUCAAUAAGCGGAGGAAAAGAAACUAACAAGGAUUCCCCUAGUAACUGCGAGUGAAGCGGGAAAAGCUCAAAUUUAAAAUCUGGUGGUCUCUGGCCAUCCGAGUUGUAAUUUAGAGAAGCGUCUUCCGCGCUGGACCGUGCACAAGUCUCCUGGAAUGGAGCGUCGUAGAGGGUGAGAAUCCCGUCUUUGGCACGGACGCACCAGGGCUUCUGUGAUGCGCUCUCGAAGAGUCGAGUUGUUUGGGAAUGCAGCUCAAAAUGGGUGGUGAACUCCAUCUAAAGCUAAAUAUUGGCGAGAGACCGAUAGCGAACAAGUACCGUGAGGGAAAGAUGAAAAGCACUUUGGAAAGAGAGUGAAACAGUACGUGAAAUUGUUGAAAGGGAAACGCUUGAAGUCAGUCGCGUCGCCCGAGACUCAGCCUUGCCUCGGCUUGGUGUACUUCUCGGCCGACGGGUCAGCAUCAAUUUUGCCCCUUGGAUAAUGGCGAGGGAAAUGUGACACCUUUACGGGUGUGUUAUAGUCUUUCGUCGCAUGCAAGGGUCGGGAUUGAGGAACUCAGCACGCGCCUUUGGGCGUCGGGGUUCGCCCACGAUACGUGCUUAGGAUGUUGGCGUAAUGGCUUUAAACGACCCGUC